rnacentral:rRNA from 1 species
GAUGAACGCUGGCGGCGUGCCUAAUACAUGCAAGUCGAGCGAACGGACGAGAAGCUUGCUUCUCUGAUGUUAGCGGCGGACGGGUGAGUAACACGUGGAUAACCUACCUAUAAGACUGGGAUAACUUCGGGAAACCGGAGCUAAUACCGGAUAAUAUUUUGAACCGCAUGGUUCAAAAGUAAAAGAGGGUCUUGCUGUCACUUAUAGAUGGAUCCGCGCUGCAUUAGCUAGUUGGUAAGGUAACGGCUUACCAAGGCAACGAUGCAUAGCCGACCUGAGAGGGUGAUCGGCCACACUGGAACUGAGACACGGUCCAGACUCCUACGGGAGGCAGCAGUAGGGAAUCUUCCGCAAAGGGCGAAAGCCUGACGGAGCAACGCCGCGUGAGUGAUGAAGGUCUUCGGAUCGUAAAACUCUGUUAUUAGGGAAGAACAUAUGUGUAAGUAACUGUGCACAUCUUGACGGUACCUAAUCAGAAAGCCACGGCUAACUACGUG